AUUGAACGCUGGCGGCAUGCCUUACACAUGCAAGUCGAACGGUAACGCGGGGCAACCUGGCGACGAGUGGCGAACGGGUGAGUAAUGUAUCGGAACGUGCCCAGUUGUGGGGGAUAACUGCUCGAAAGAGCAGCUAUACCGCAUACGACCUGAGGGUGAAAGCGGGGGAUCGCAAGACCUUGCGCAAUUGGAGCGGCCGGGAUCAGAUUAGGUAGUUGGUGGGGUAAAGGCUCACCAAGCCAACGAUCUGUAGCUGGUCUGAGAGGACGACCAGCCACACUGGGACUGAGACACGGCCCAGACUCCUACGGGAGGCAGCAGUGGGGAAUUUUGGACAAUGGACGCAAGUCUGAUCCAGCCAUGCCGCGUGCGGGAAGAAGGCCUUCGGGUUGUAAACCGCUUUUGUCAGGGAAGAAACGCUCUGGGUUAAUACCUCGGGGUAAUGACGGUACCUGAAGAAUAAGCACCGGCUAACUACGUGCCAGCCGCCGCGGUAAUAC
rnacentral:rRNA from 1 species